rnacentral:tRNA from 1 species
CAGAAGUGACUUGUUUGGUCUCUGAUUCUUGCACUCAGGCACAAGACAACCUGACAUUUCAGGAGAUGGUCUGUCAGAAUUGGAUCUCUGAGUGGGGUGGCUCUUGAUAGGGAUCCCUGUUAACUGUGACUAGAAUCCUGAGAAGAGAAAAACCUUCCUGAAAUGGGCAUAUCCCUGGCUGGCCUGGAACCAACCUUUCGGACUUAGGACUAUGGGAAGAAUAGGGGGAGAUUCUCUAGUGAUGAUAAUACAUGAAUGCUUUAAAAGCUAGAACAGGCGUCCCUGGGUGGUCUUGAACUACUCACCGUUCGGUUAAUAGCCGAACGCUCUGACCGAUUGCGCCACAGAGACAGGUACUAGCGAUUCCACUGGGCGCUAUAGGCAGGGCGCACUCACCGAACUCCCCAAUCCCUUCCAGCCUCAGAGCCCGCCUGGCAGGACUACUGAGCAAGGCCUUGGAAAAUCGGAGCGAUUAGAGCGGUUCAAACAAUACAGAAGUGUAUAAAGUAAGAAUUGAAAGUCUCUUCGCUGCUCUAAUCUCACUCCUCAGAGGUGAUCACUGUGUGGAAGAUGAUCAAAGUAUGACAUUUCUUCUACCCCAGAGGCUGGCAUUUCUGCAGGCACAAAUGAGCUUGGUUUUCAAGCACUGCUCUUUGAACACAAGGAAUUCCUUUAAUGAUCACGCCGGACUAUAUAGACUUUGGAAUCAGACUCUUUGAAUUCCAGCUCUGCCAUUUACCAACUUUGACACUUUGGACAACGUCUCAUUCUGUCACCCAGGCUGGAGUGCAGUGGCACAAUUAUAGCUCACUGCAGCCUCAAACACCUGGGCUCAAGCAAUCCUUCCACCUCUGCCUCCUGAGUAAUUGGGACUACAGGGUUUUGGAAAUCUGGAUUGUAGCAGGGCAUUGUAAGUUAAAAAAUCAUCUUCCCAUUCUGUUCUUUGCAAAGAUAUUUCUGUUCCUUAAAUUUGUUGAGGGUAAGAGAUUGCAGAUUGCUUCUGUGGACUUCUUGAAGGUGGAUCUGCCUGUUGGUGGAGAACCCUAGACUGCAUGCAGCCAUGCACAUGAUCUGGAGACACAGCAGGUCAUCCUCAGCAUUUAUACUCUCUCUCCUUUUGUGCCCCCAUGGACCAAGUUAAGAAGGUGUAGGCUUCAAAUCUUAAGAUCGGUCACCACAAAAUUCAAAAAGACAAGGUCUUUGUCUGUUGCUCAGGAUGGAGUGUAGUGGUGCCAUAGCACACUGUAAUCUUGAAUUUCUGGACUACUGGCAUACACCACCAUGCUUAGGUUCGGGCCACAACAUCCGUGACUUUACCGGUUUUGGUCUCUUCCUUGUAACUUUCGGCUCCAGGAUGCUGCGCAGCUCCUCUCUGCACUAUCUAUCAGAACGUUGCUCUGCGUGCUUGAAAGUUUCGCCAAACAGAAGUACACAAAAACAAACAGAGGCGAAACACAAAUCCCCUCAGCCCUGGAGGAAAAGGCCUUGAAGCUCUUCCAGUGCAGAGGCCACGCAGAGGACAUGCUCCUACCUGUGCACAUCGGCCACGCCUGGGGUGCCUCCUGGAGUCCAGGCUGCUGGCGAUGGAAUCCAUCAUGUUGCUGAUGUCACUACUCUCAACUCCUGAUGGCAUCAGAACACAGGCAGCAUCAAGAUCAGGCUCAAGAUGCAGGAUUUUAUCAUCCAAAUCAGGCCCACAUAUGGAUGAAACCCUUCAGGUUUUUCUAUUCUCAUUAACAGUGUCCUCAAGAUCUUUGCAGCGUUUGCUCAUUGUCUGGUUCCAAAACCAUGGCCACAUGUUUUAGAUAGUUAUGGCAGCACUCCACUUCCAGGUUUAGGAAUUACACAUUCGAGCUUCUGGUUCCAUAUCUCCCAUUGCUUGGCUGCACUUGAACUGAGGAUUCUGACAGCUGACAAAUGACAUUCCAAGAACUUAGCCAGAGCCCAGAUUGUGCCCUGCUGUGGGAAUUUCUCCUCAUAGAUUUGUCCAACAACUCUGCUCUGGAGAAAAUGCUCAGGUGAUGCAUUCCCAGUGGUAGCUCAGUUCCCAUCAACUCACCACUGGUGCCUGCAUUAGGAUGUUUUUCUUUCUUCAGGUAUUCUGCACAUCUCUCAGGAAACCCAGAUGAAAUUGAGUGCCUGCUGCCCACAUCAGCAACCCAGACUGAGUGCUGGGCUACUCCAAAAUGGACCUUAGGACCGGAUAUAUGCCUACAGCUCAUGGGUAAGGCCUUUCUGUAGCAAUACCUGGGGGGAUUUCAUCAUUUUAUCCUUCAUUAAAAAAAAAAAAAAUCUUUUCUCCUGUCUUUCUUGUUCAGGGCAUCUUUUUCUUCAAUUUCUCAGAUGAAAAGAAUGCCUUUAUUUAAAUAAGACUUUAGGGCAUAUGCAGCGCAUACUUUAUCUCAUUUGAUUCCCACACAACUUUGUCCAUUAAGUAUUUUUAUUAUUUUUUAUAGAUGAGGAAACUGGGACUUGGGGGCUUUGCUUGAGAGAGCUGGGACACAAACUGAGUCUUUUGGCUUCAAGUCCAUGAUUCAUUUCAAUGCUGAGUCCACUGGCCCCUUAACCAAUCUUCAUCAUUUUCCUGCUACCCCCAUUGAUGGCAACAGGAUUUUAUAAGCUGAUGAUCUUCACCUACAGGAUCCCAUUCCUCUGAUGUUUCAUCAGCGGGGACAGGAUCAGGUUUCAGUAAAUCUAGAAGAUUAAAACUGGAAAGUCUGAGGAUAAUUCUAUCAAGAGAUCCUGUGUAUUUAAUGUUCUAACUUAGUCCACGUGCUGUACUUGAUAGUAUUUUCUCAGUGCCACAUUAAGAUAACAAGGAUUUUCUUAAAUGUAAUAUUUACCUUUAAGUAUGUACUAAGGUGGCUGAUUCUUAAUGCUCCUCCUUUUGAGAAAACUUAAAGGUGAAAUUGAACAUAAUUGCUCCUGAUCCAUUUCACUCCACCUAGUGGGCCUUUUGUUUGUUUUUCUUCCAAGACAUCCCACUUGAUUCUGCUUCUGGAGCCUAAGAUGGGAAAAUGGCAGGUGUCGCAGGUUGCAGGGGAAGGUCGGAGACCAGUUGAGGGCCCCGGAGUCUGUCUGGAAAGAGUUUUCCAUCCAGCCCGUCUCGGUUUCCGCAUCCGUGUGAGUCCUUUAUGACGUCGGGAAUGCCAAGGUCUGAGUCCUUUAUGAUGUUCAGGGUGCCCCGGUCUCACCCCGGGAGCCUCCUCGCUCCGGCCUGCUCCUGGCUACCCGGUGGGCGGCUCUGGCCCCAGCGACCCGCUACUGUUUCUCCAUGCGCUGCCACUUCGCAAAGGCACAUCUCUAGGUCAGUGGUCAGCUGCAGCCAGGGCGCUGCAACUCGCUCCAGGACUCGGGAAUCAGGGCCUUGGUGGGCCUCGCAGAGUGCUGGGUGUGUCGCCUGCGGGCUCCUCUUUUGGAGAAAGGAGGGAGGGAAAGGCCUUGUGAGACGACUCCAGGAGCGACCAGCGACCCCCACAAGGCCCAAGUCCUCCCAGCGCACUCAGAAACAGUCACUUAAAUGGCAAUAAGGUUGAGAAAGACUCUCCCGUGCCCCCGUGCUGGUGUAGUGGCUGUGAUUCAGUCCUUUCACCACCGCAUCCCGGGUUCGAUUACCGGUCAGGGAGUUGUUUUGCACUGACUGCCCACCCGCAGUAAUCUUUCUUUACUCCGCUGUCAGCCGGCCUGCUCCAAGAGCCAGAGGCAGAAGAGUCUCCCUGCAAGGUGCAAACCCUGGCGAAGGAGGGCAAGUCCUGGUGGACGGCCUCUCAUGACACACCCUCUUAUUUAUCUCCGUGUCCACCAUUCGCAGAAGGGGCUUUAGAGAGCGACUGAGCGUCUCGCUCAGGUGUACACCACCGUGCAGAGAUGGCAGCUCUCCUGGAGGUGUACCCAAGAAGCCCACCAUCUUUGCCGCCUCCGCCAUCCCAGAGGCGCCGAUUGGGCUGAGCUGCAAAUAACUAAGAGAGAGAGAGGCCAAGCCAAGUCGUGGCGUUUGUGUGCGGCACACGUCGUCAGCUGACACAGGCGGUCAGCUGAGCCUCCUCACCUCAGUUCGCAGCUAACAUGCUUCUUAGGCCUUCGGAAGAGGCGACAGGAGGCGAUGGCCGCGAGGUUGGGAGGGGGGUGAGCGGCGGGUGAGGUCCUCCAGGACCGCCCAUUUAUUGACUGGGUGGUACAGGAGGGCGAUGUUCGCUUACCCAACAACGACAGCAGGUGGAGUAGGCACUAAUGGAAAACUGUGGCCGGUGCCCUAAGCAGAAGGCAGGUGUAAAAAUCACUAGGACAUCAAAGGGAUAGUACCACAGUCAAAUCCCGCAAUGUCUGUCUACACUCUACCAAGCAAUUGUGCACCCUCCCCCUUUUCCAUUCAGUACUCCCAAGAAGGGUUGGGACGAACCCUGUGUCCACUGUAAAGCUCAGGGGAGAGCGGGAGCGAGGGAGGUGAAGUGCACAGACUGGGCAGAGGCGGCGGGCAGAACUGCGGGGGUGAGAGGGCGCGGUGGCUGCGGGGCGGGAGCCUCUGCUGAAAGGAGGCCUGGGUUGUCCUGUGGGUGACUGUUGGUGGAAUCUUUGGCAGCGAGUGGUUGGAAGAAUGGCGACGGGCGAGCAGAGGGGAAGGUGGUGACCCUGAGCGUCUGGCUAGGGGAGAGGAGGCUGUACUGACACUCGUCUCCUCUUACCUGGCGAGGGACAGACCGUGGUCAAGAAGGGAGCUCUCCCUGGUUGAGGCUAGUCCACCACACUCCAGCUGCUCUGACCCCUGCGAUUUCCCUACACGCGGGGCGCUUGUCUGCGGUGGUGUUUGCGCUACCCGGGGGCUGGGUUCACGCAGGCUCCUGACAGUCCUUGGCUCACCGCCCCCGACGCGGAUAUCGCCGCUAGAGACCCUUCCGCCACCCUCCUAGGGAUCUUGAGGGCCUUCCUUGUUGUUCCGACUGAAGCUCACGAACAGACAGAUGUGAGCUCUCUGUCUUUUACACGUUGAAUUUGGCUAUUGGCAAAAAAAGCCCUGACCCAGAGCUUGGGACUCCUCCCGGCCUGCACACGACUUCCCGACUCUUGCCUCCUAGCGCGGCUCUUGGCUAGCGGGCGGGCAGCCUCCACCCAGCGUAGAACCGCGGCAGCCGCAGCCCCCGCAGGCUGGCGGUCAGACACUAGCAGGAAAAGGGACACAAGGCCUGCGUGGUGGGAAAGCAUGGGAGACGUCGCUUUCCCACCAGGCGAGAAGGUCUCCCUACAGUCUUUGGACAGAAGAUGGAGGGAGGCACCCCUUCCAGGAGCAAGGCGGCUGCUCCUGAGGCCUGGCUCCGCACGGAGGCUCCUGGGUCCCGCGCGCCCUCUCCCUACCGGUUAUAGCCAGAGCUGCUUCACACAUCUCAGCCGGCUUCCUCUUCCGCCUCUGCCACCUCUUCCUCCCCAGCUCGUGGGAAAGACCUAGCCUCCUCUCCAACACUUGGAGAGGGAGUUGGAUGAACGUCUCCUAACCCCAGUAGGACAGAGAUCCUGAGGUAGGAGGGGACCCCUUGCCUUGCUGCUUCUUUUGGCACCGCUGACCCGGGCCCAGGACUCCUCGCUCCUCCUGGAAGGCCUGGGUCGUGUAGCCCACAGAGGUGGCCACGUGGGCAUCUCCCCCACUGCUCCUCAUAGAACCGGAGGCAUUAUCCUGCCGGGCCCACUCUUACCCAUGAAAGAAACUUGGGAAAUGCUCCCGGGGAAGCCGGGGAUCUGGGCGCUCGACCACUUCGGUGUGAAUCUUCCGUCCGCUCAUCCUUCCUUCGGAGGGUCUUGGGGAGAGGAGAAAUGCUCAAGGACGAUGCGCUUUGCAGCGUCUCAAGGGAAACUAGAUCUCAACGGAUACCAGAAGUCUGGAGCGUCUUCCUGGAGGAAGGCGGCCCGAGGCCUGCGGUUGCAGGGAGGCUUGCGGAGCACAGCGCCCUCUCUCAGCCUGAGCUAUCCAGUGGCUUCCAGCAUCCCAGCUGGCCGACUCCACUUCCUCUCUCUUCCUCCUACUGCGGGUCUUCUUCUUCUCUUUGGGGACCGAAUCUCGCUCUGUCGCCCAGGCUGGAGUGCAGUGGCGCGAUCUCGGCUUACUGCAACCUCCGCCUCCCGGGUUGAAGCGAUUCUCCUGCCUCAGCCUCCCGAAUAGCUGGGACUACAGGCGCGUGCCACCACGCCCGGCUAAUUUUUUGUAUUUUUAGUUGAGACGGGGUUUCACCCUGUUAGCCAGGAUGGUCUCGAUCUCCUGGCCUCUUGAUCCGCCCGCCUCGGCCUCCCAAAGUGCUGGGAUUACAGGCGUGAGCCUCCGCGCCCGGCCUACUGCGGCUCUUCUAUCCUGGUGUUCUUUGAAUGCCUAUCUUCCUUUUGUGCCACAGAACCUCUCACGCCCGCCACAGGUUGCUCAUUUCCUUGGUUGUUCUGAACUUUAAAUAAGUUAAUGUAUGUAAGAGUGCCAUAAAUGCUCAGUAAUUGACAUCUGUUAUUUUCAUCAGUAACAUCAUCUGAAUCAUCUGUAUUGUCUAUUUUUAACAACUGCAUUUUUCAUUGUCCAAAUAAAGUCACAUACAUUUGAACAUUAUAUAAUGAUUGAAUAAUAAAAUUAUUCUGCUAUUUUACAAUAAAAA